AUCUAGGUCUCAUUUUCCUGAAUGAAAUGGGGAGUAGUCUUUGAUAAUCUCUAGUUCUUCAUCCUAUUAAAUACUAGCAAAAUACGGUAUGAUCCUCUCUUGUGAUACUGGGCAGCUGCUCAGUCAGCCACAUGAUCACAAAGGUGGCUUCUUUGGCACCAUUUCUCUGAGCAUUUGGAUUCCUGCAACAUGGCCAAUGCCACAUGGUAACCCUGGACUGCGAGCUGGAUGGAUUAAGGGAGGUAUGAGGGAAGAGAUGCUACACCUGGCGUCAACCGAUUCUCAGUUUUCAGACAGAUGACACACUGCAGACUCUGCCUUUUCCUGACCCACAGGGA